AUUGAACGCUGGCGGCAUGCCUUACACAUGCAAGUCGAACGGCAGCACGGGUGCUUGCACCUGGUGGCGAGUGGCGAACGGGUGAGUAAUAUAUCGGAACGUACCUUAUCGUGGGGGAUAACGCAGCGAAAGCUGCGCUAAUACCGCAUACGCCCUGAGGGGGAAAGCGGGGGACCGUAAGGCCUCGCGCGAUUAGAGCGGCCGAUAUCUGAUUAGCUUGUUGGUGGGUAAAAGCCACCAAGGCGACGAUGCAUAGCCGAACUGAGAGGUUAAUCGGCCACAUUGGGACUGAGACACGGCCCAAACUCCUACGGGAGACAGCAGUUAGGAAUAUUCGUCAAUGGGGGAAACCCUGAACGAGCAAUGCCGCGUGAGUGAUGACGGUCCUCUGGAUUGUAAAAACUCUGUUGUUUGGAAAGAACUGUAAGAAGAGGAAAUGCUUCUUACUUGACGGUACCAUUCAAGAAAGCCACGGCUAAACUACGUGCCAGCAGCCGACGG
rnacentral:rRNA from 1 species